rnacentral:tRNA from 1 species
AUUUACAUAGAUUAUACUUUAGAUCGUAACACUGAAGAUGUUAAGGAGGUUGAUAUAAUCUGUAAAUA